rnacentral:lncRNA from 1 species
GGUGAUUCCAGCAGUCUGGGCGAGUGUUCCUGUGAGCCUGAGUAGGAAGCGCUGCAGUGAUGGAGACAUGAAAGGUAGGUUAAUGACAUAGGGUGAUGCUCAGCAUGUGGAGAGCCAGGCAGGGGGAGAAGCAAGGUAGCAAGCCAAGUAAACUCUUUCUUUGCAGCAAUGUGAAUCUGGGCACGUUCCUUAACCCUUUUCAGUUUCUGUCUAUUUAGCUGUAAAACAAGGUAAAGAUCUCUGCCUCAGACGGGUGGUAUUGGAGCUUAACACAGAAACGGGAGCCUUAGCAGGCGCUCAACCUGAGCUUCCACUUUUAAAUUAAGAGGCGAGACAUGAACCCGUGUAUAACAAAUUAGGGUGAACUUUAAUUUUGAGUGCGUCAGGGGAUUUCUGUUUCUUCUUUCUUAGCUCCCAUCUGCAAGGGUCGUGGUCAUCCAUCCAUCCAUUCAUUCAGGAAAUAUUUGCUGAGCUCUCUGCUUCUGUAGGGUAACCUGCUUUGCUGGAUCUGCUAAAUUGAGUGAAAUGCCCCCAGGCACUGAACCACAUGGUAAAGGCAGGCAUCCACAGUCCUAUGGAACUCUAUAGGAAGGUAGAACAGUGCUCAUGAAGUUUGUAUUCUGCGAUAGAAUGUCCGGAAGAGGUUUGCAGUGGGACUGGCCUAGUGCAGAGAAGGGUGAGAAUAGACCCUCCAUUGGCCGGGCUAAUGACAGGGUGUGUGGGAGAUGCUUCGGCUUACGCGCUACUCCACUAGGCUACUUUUAGCUUAUUUAUCACCUGCCGCCAUCAUCUGCCAGAUGCUCGCCACCCCAAUUCUCUCUCUGUGUCCCCACAUGUUCCUGGCUGAUAUCCCCCUCUUCCCCUUUCUGUCCUUCGCUGUCCGCGUUCUCUACCCUCAUGGCUCUGCUCCCAUCUGUCUGUCGUAACUUUCCUCCCUCCUCCCAGAUAAGCCUCCUUUAUACCAGAUCUGUUGCAUGGUGUGAUUUCUCAGGGGGAUACCUUGGAGUGGGCCUGCCAGGUACUCCCUCGCCGCAUUAUAUUUCAGAACAGGAGGUGUACCUCAUCUGUGCCCUCGCCGCGGGAAACUGAGCCCACUUCUCUCUUGUCUGUGUAUUUCUUCUUUCUCAAUGGCAUAGGGUGGAUUUUCCCAUGUCUCAUCUUUUGUUGUUGUUGUUGUUGCUGUUAUUUUAUGUGGUGUUUUGCCUGCCUAUAUGUCUGUGUACAGUGUGCCUGCCUAAUACCCAUGGAGCUCAGAAGAACGUGUUGGAUUCAUUGGAACCAGAGUUACAGAUGGUUGUGAGCCACCAUGCUGCCGGAAACAGAACCUGGGUCCUCUGGAAGAGCAGCAAGUGCUCUUAACCAUUGGCCCGCCUCUCUAGUCCCAUGCCCCUUCUUCUUUAAGUGACCUUCUUCAUUUCACCACCUCGCUUGGCCACUUUCCUCAUCCUGCGUCCCAUGACCCCACAGAGCUCCUUUGAGGUUCUUGGUCCCCUGCAGAGACUGAUGCUCUGAGGCUUGGAGCUGAUUGGAGGACGCAGAGGAAGCAAGAUGGCCACAGGCUGUUUCUAGCCAAGCUGGAAGCCUAGCUUGGGGCUCUGCGGAGCAUCAGCAGACAGAAGCACAAUGAGACUGGGGAUCAUUUGUCUGUGUUAUGUGGAUGCUUUUUGUUCCCCUUACAAGAAACUCUCAGAGACAAAGAUCUCAAAGCAAAGCUGCUUCAGGCCCCACGUGAGGAAGUGCUCCUCAGAGUGAACCCGCAUUGUUAAUCACUUCCAGAACCUCCUGCUACAGCUUCCAGAAUAUUCCAUCUGAAUCGGCC